GGCACGAUGAUACCAGAGUCCACGCUGACAUACAGAAUGACGAAAAGGCACCAAAGACAUGAGGAAAUCACAGGAGAGAUCGAUGUCUUAUUGUGAUGAGUCUCGACUGUCAUAUCUUCUUCGGAGCCGAGACCGAAGAUUGGCUACUGUAAAGCAGUUGAAAGAAUUUAUUCAGCAACCAGAAAAUAAGCUGGUACUAGUUAAACAAUUGGAUAUCUUGGCUGCUGUACAUGAUGUGCUUAAUGAAAGUAGCAAAUUGCUUCAGGAGUUGAGACAGGAGGGAGCUUGCUGUCUCGGCC
rnacentral:lncRNA from 1 species